AGAUAAAUAAGUCUGGAGAUGCCAGGUCCAGUGCUGGAGUCUCAGGAGGGAGUGCUCUGGGGCACCACAACCAUGGUCUGGACUCUGCUUGUCCUCACACUCCUCAGUCAGGGUUUCCAGGCCCAGUCUGCUCUGACUCAGCCUCCUUCUAUCUCUGGAACUCCUGGACAGUCAGUCACCAUAUCCUGUGCUGGAACCAGCAGUGACAUUGGGAAAUAUAAUUAUGUCUCUUGGUACCAACAUCGUCCAGGAACAACCCAUAAACUCAUGAUUUAUGAUGUUAGUAAUCGUCCCUCAGGGAUCCCUUCUCACUUCUCUGGCUCCAAGACUGGCAACACAGCCUCUCUGGCCAUCUCUGGGCUGCAGCUGGAGGAUGAGGCUGACUACUACUGCUGUUCAUAUGCAGGCAAUGAAAAUUACCACAGUGGGCCAAGUUGA